rnacentral:rRNA from 1 species
ACGUAGGGCGCAAGCGUUGUCCGGAAUUAUUGGGCGUAAAGAGCUCGUAGGCGGUUUGUCGCGUCUGCUGUGAAAGCCCGGGGCUCAACCCCGGGUCUGCAGUGGGUACGGGCAGACUAGAGUGCAGUAGGGGAGACUGGAAUUCCUGGUGUAGCGGUGAAAUGCGCAGAUAUCAGGAGGACACCGCAUAGGUCGGA